rnacentral:tRNA from 2 species
GGGUCGCUAGCUCAAUUGGCAGAGCUGCGGACUUUUAAUCCGUAGGUUGUGGGUUCGAGUCCCACGCGACCCACC